rnacentral:misc_RNA from 1 species
GAUGAAGAACGCAGCGAAAUGCGAUAAGUAAUGUGAAUUGCAGAAUUCAGUGAAUCAUCGAAUCUUUGAACGCACAUUGCGCCCGCCAGUAUUCUGGCGGGCAUGCCUGUUCGAGCGUCAUUUCAACCAUCAAGCCCCCGGCUUGUGUUGGGGACCUGCGGCUGCCGCAGGCCCUGAAAACCAGUGGCGGGCUCGCUAGUCACUCCGAGCGUAGUAAUACAUCUCGCUCAGGGCGUGCUGCGGGUUCCGGCCGUUAAAAAGCCUUAUUUACCCAAGGUUGACCUCGGAUCAGGUAGGAAUACCCGCUGAACUUAAGCAUAUCAAUAAGCGGAGGA